UACGUAGGGUCCGAGCGUUGUCCGGAAUUACUGGGCGUAAAGAGCUCGUAGGUGGUUUGUCGCGUUGUUCGUGAAAACUCACAGCUUAACUGUGGGCGUGCGGGCGAUACGGGCAGACUUGAGUACUGCAGGGGAGACUGGAAUUCCUGGUGUAGCGGUGGAAUGCGCAGAUAUCAGGAGGAACACCGGUGGCGAAGGCGGGUCUCUGGGCCGACAUUGACGCUGAGGAGCGAAAGCGUGGGGAGCGAACAGG
rnacentral:rRNA from 1 species